GCUCGCAUCCAUUUGGAGAUGGGUGUGGGUGUGUUUGAUGUGGUUCCAAGAUGGCUGGUGUUUUUCUUACCUGAUCACCUUCGGUGGACACAGACUUGGUUGUGGUUGCGUACGUACCAAAGGAUCAUUUUAGUGGCACAGCACAAGCACAGUGUGACCUGGAAAUUCCAUAUUUCCUUUAGGGUCCUGCGUCCCUUCUAUUUAAAGCCCUCCUUGCUCUUCGGGAUGCCAAGACGCUCUACUUGUAAAAUGCCUCCCAUGAUCUCUACUGCAGGUAUGCAUAACUUUAAUUUUAUUAUUUUAAAUGUAUAUAGCCUCUUUUUUUAACUCGUUAAAAUAUUAUAGUGACCUAUGCCUACAGUUUACAUCCCUGUCAGACCAUUAAGAGAGUAAGAGACUUUACAAGUUUCUCGAGAGCAUGUAAUCUUUUAGAAGAUGGAGUUUGAGAUGUGAUCCAUUUUUGAAGGACUAAAUGUUAAUUUAGUAUCAACCUUUGAUAUUGACCAUCUUUCCAAGCUUGGAUACCCUUGAACAGCUGAUUUUCUUUGGUCAUAUGGUCUGGGAUUUCAUAACCAAAUUCUACUAUCUUCCACAAAUCUAUGGAGACAAAUAAGCUUCUCAUCUUUAUACUCCAGAAAUCAUAGUUCUCACUUGAGAAAAUAGGAACCUACACGCUGCUCCAAUUUACGCUACUUAUGCUGGCCAUUUUUCUCCUCCAAAAUCUUCUUUUUCUUCUUCAAAUUUCUGCCUUAAAUACCUCUUUCAACCAAGCUCUGAUACCAAAUCUGUUGGCUGGACAAACCAGCAAUUAUAAAACAGUAAAGGCAGAAUUAAACUCAAACUAAUUAGCACAAUAAAGGAUCAAGUAGUUGCUGAAAAAUCUGGAGUAUAUUCAGCAAAAUAGGAGAAAAAAUGGGGGAAGAGAGGCAGCCACUCUCUUCAGUUGUUUCUUUUCUCUAUUUUUUCUACAGCUUGUUCAUGCCUCUUCAAGUUCUUUUACAUUUCCAAACAUAACUUGCUCUCCAAGUCUUGCAAUCUUAGCCACUCAUUCUAAUCAUACUUUGACUCUAGUUAACAAAAGUAAUUAUGGUAAGCAUUAAAUAGAAUUUAAUUUGACAACACAUUAACCAUAACAUAUAGUACUCUGCUGGUUAUAGACAUAAUUCAGACACUUGGAACUUGGAAGCUUUAGCAUGCAAUUUCUUUUAAAUUUGCUUUGUCUUCUCAAAUAAGCUUUUGUGAAAACACAAACCCUAGCUAGAGUUCACAUGCUUGGCAAGUAAUCACUUUCAAUUCAAACUAAAUACUAGCAUAUCGCUAUGUUGCUUGCAUUUCUAUUCUUUAUUUCAAAAUGGGAAGUGAUUAUAUUCUCUGCUGGGGCAUUAGGCUGGAAGGAAAAUAAUCUCUUUCUGUAAAUCACAAAUCUCGUUAGUCCAAAAUUUACAUAUAACUAAGAUUGUGCUACUUCAGAUUUGAUUUCUCCCAAAAAAAGUUGACUGAUAAUCUUCAUAAUAAAUGUCCAGGGUCAUGUUCAAGCUGACCUUCCUGGGGAAGUUAGGAA
rnacentral:lncRNA from 1 species